GAUGAACGCUGGCGGCGUGCCUAAUACAUGCUAGUCGAGCGCAGGAAGCCGACGGAACCCUUCGGGGGGAAGUCGACGGAAUGAGCGGCGGACGGGUGAGUAACACGUAAAGAACCUGCCCUCAGGUCUGGGAUAACCACGAGAAAUCGGGGCUAAUACCGGAUGGGUCAUCGGACCGCAUGGUCCGAGGAUGAAAGGCGCUUCGGCGUCGCCUGGGGAUGGCUUUGCGGUGCAUUAGCUAGUUGGUGGGGUAAUGGCCCACCAAGGCGACGAUGCAUAGCCGACCUGAGAGGGUGAUCGGCCACACUGGGACUGAGACACGGCCCAGACUCCUACGGGAGGCAGCAGUAGGGAAUCUUCCACAAUGGACGAAAGUCUGAUGGAGCAACGCCGCGUGAACGAUGAAGGCCUUCGGGUCGUAAAGUUCUGUUGUAAGGGAAGAACAAGUGCCGCAGGCAAUGGCGGCACCUUGACGGUACCUUGCGAGAAAGCCACGGCUAACUACGUGCCAGCCGCCGCAGUAAUAC
rnacentral:rRNA from 1 species